GGCCUAACACAUGCAAGUCGAACGCUCCAGCAAUAGAGAGUGGCAGACGGGUGAGUAACGCGUGGGAACCUUCCCAAUGGUGCGGAAUAGCCCAGGGAAACUUGGGGUAAUACAGCAUAAGCCCUUAGGGGGAAAGAUUUAUCGCCAUUGGAUGGGCCCGCGUCGGAUUAGCUAGUUGGUGAGGUAAUGGCUCACCAAGGCUACGAUCCGUAGCUGGUUUGAGAGAAUGACCAGCCACACUGGGACUGAGACACGGCCCAGACUCCUACGGGAGGCAGCAGUGGGGAAUCUUGGACAAUGGGCGCAAGCCUGAUCCAGCCAUGCCGCGUGAGUUCAAGGCCUUAGGGUUGUAAAGCUC
rnacentral:rRNA from 1 species